GACGAACGCUGGCGGCGUGCUUAACACAUGCAAGUCGAACGGAAAGGCUCCAGCUUGCUGGCGUACUCGAGUGGCGAACGGGUGAGUAACACGUGGGUAAUCUGCCCUGCACUCUGGGAUAAGCCUGGGAAACUGGGUCUAAUACUGGAUAUGACCUUUCUCCUUAUGGGGUUUGGUGGAAAGUUUUUCGGUGUAGGAUGAGCCCGCGGCCUAUCAGCUUGUUGGUGGGGUGAUGGCCUACCAAGGCGACGACGGGUAGCCGGCCUGAGAGGGUGAUCGGCCACAUUGGGACUGAGAUACGGCCCAGACUCCUACGGGAGGCAGCAGUGGGGAAUAUUGCACAAUGGGCGGAAGCCUGAUGCAGCGACGCCGCGUGAGGGAUGACGGCCUUCGAGUUGUAAACCUCUUUCAGCAGGGACGAAGCGUAAGUGACGGUACCUGCAGAAGAAGCACCGGCUAACUAUGUG
rnacentral:rRNA from 1 species